GACGAACGCUGGCGGCGUGCCUAAUACAUGCAAGUCGUGCGGACUUUGCGGGAGCUUGCUCCCAAGAAGUUAGCGGCGGACGGGUGAGUAACACGUGGGCAACCUGCCUGACAGACUGGGAUAACAUCCGGAAACGGAUGCUAAUACCGGAUAGGCAGCGAAGAGGCAUCUCUUUGCUGAGAAAGGCGCUACGGCGUCACUGUCAGAUGGGCCCGCGGCGCAUUAGCUAGUUGGUGGGGUAACGGCCCACCAAGGCGACGAUGCGUAGCCGACCUGAGAGGGUGACCGGCCACACUGGGACUGAGACACGGCCCAGACUCCUACGGGAGGCAGCAGUAGGGAAUCCUCCACAAUGGGCGAAAGCCUGAUGGAGCAACGCCGCGUGAGUGAUGAAGGCCUUCGGGUUGUAAAACUCUGUCUUCUGGGACGAACGAGCAGGAAAGGAAAUGUUCCUGCUGUGACGGUACCAGAGGAGGAAGCCACGGCUAACUACGUGCCAGCAGCCGCAGUAACAC
rnacentral:rRNA from 1 species